rnacentral:rRNA from 1 species
GAUGAACGCUGGCGGCGUGCCUAAUACAUGCAAGUCGAGCGAACAGACGAGGAGCUUGCUCCUCUGACGUUAGCGGCGGACGGGUGAGUAACACGUGGAUAACCUACCUAUAAGACUGGGAUAACUUCGGGAAACCGGAGCUAAUACCGGAUAAUAUAUUGAACCGCAUGGUUCAAUAGUGAAAGACGGUUUUGCUGUCACUUAUAGAUGGAUCCGCGCCGCAUUAGCUAGUUGGUAAGGUAACGGCUUACCAAGGCAACGAUGCGUAGCCGACCUGAGAGGGUGAUCGGCCACACUGGAACUGAGACACGGUCCAGACUCCUACGGGAGGCAGCAGUCGGGAAUCUUCCGCAAUGGGCGAAAGCCUGACGGAGCAACGCCGCGUGAGUGAUGAAGGUCUUCGGAUCGUAAAACUCGGUUAUUAGGGAAGAACAAAUGUGUAAGUAACUAUGCACGUCUUGACGGUACCUAAUCAGAAAGCCACGGCUAACUACGUG